rnacentral:rRNA from 1 species
UUGACCUCAAAUCAGGUAGGACUACCCGCUGAACUUAAGCAUAUCAAUAAGCGGAGGAAAAGAAACUAACAAGGAUUCCCCUAGUAACUGCGAGUGAAGCGGGAAAAGCUCAAAUUUGAAAUCUGAUGGUUUUUGACCGUCCGAGUUGUAAUCUAGAGAAGUGUUUACCCGUGCUGGACUGUGUACAAGUCUCCUGGAAUGGGGCAUCGUAGAGGGUGAGAAUCCCGUCUUUGACACGGACUGCCAGUGCACUAUGGGUGUGCUCUCGAAGAGUCGAGUUGUUUGGGAAUGCAGCUCAAAAUGGGUGGUAAAUGCCAUCUAAAGCUAAAUAUUGGCGAGAGACCGAUAGCGAACAAGUACCGUGAGGGAAAGAUGAAAAGAACUUUGGAAAGAGAGUUAAACAGUACGUGAAAUUGCUGAAAGGGAAACGCUUGAAGUCAGUCGCGUUGGCCAGAAAUCAGCCUUGCUUUUGCUUGGUGUAUUUUCUUGUCUUUACGGGUCAGCAUCAAUCUUGACCAUUGGAUAAGGUCUGUGGGAAUGUGGCAUCUUUGGAUGUGUUAUAGCCCAUGGUCGCAUACGGUGGUUGGGAUUGAGGAACUCAGCACGCCCGCGAGGGACGGGUUUCGACCACGUUUUCGUGCUUAGGAUGCUGGCAUAAUGGCUUUAAUCGACCCGUC